GACGAAGGUGGCGAGCGUUGUUCGGAAUCACUGGGCAUAAAGCGCACGUAGGCGGCGGCGUAAGUUGGAUGUGAAAUCCCCCGGCCCAACCGGGGAACUGCGUCCAGUACUGCGUUGCUUGAGGAUCCAAGGGGUGCAUGGAAUUCCCGGUGGAGCGGUGAAAUGCGUUGAUAUCGGGAGGAACUCCGGCGGCGAAGGCGGGUCUCUGGGCCGGAACUGACGCUAAGGAGCGAAAGCGUGGGGAGCGAACAGG
rnacentral:rRNA from 1 species